ensembl:snoRNA U3 Small nucleolar RNA U3
AAGGUUAUACUUUCAGGGAUUAUCUCUCUAGUUGGUGACUGGAGAAGGGUGGUUGUAAAAGCCUGGCCUUGCUAACUAUGAUGAAGAACUGCAGUGUUUCUUCCUGAGCAUGACAAUGGCUGAGAGUGCUGUUCUGUGGCAGUUGCUUUCUGCUGUAGAAAAGUGUCUUAUUCUUCCUGGGAAGAGUAGGGGAAAGAAAUACAGUCUGAGGGGU